GAGAGGUGGCCGAGUGGUUGAAGGCGCACGACUCGAAAUCGUGUAUGCGGCAACGUAUCGCGGGUUCGAAUCCCGCCCUCUCC
rnacentral:tRNA from 1 species